GACGAACGCUGGCGGCGUGCUUAACACAUGCAAGUCGAACGAAGUGGCUAACGGGUGAGUAACGCGUAAUCAACCUGCCCUUCAGAGGGGGACAACAGUGGGAAACGACUGCUAAUACCGCAUACUUAAGGAGGGGAUUGGGUCGGAUUCGCUAGUUGGGGGGGUAACGGCCCACCAAGGCGAUGAUCAGUAGACGGGCUGAGAGGAUGAACGGCAACAUUGGAACUGAGACACGGCCCAGACUCCUACGGGAGGCAGCAGUGGGGAAUCUUCCACAAUGGACGAAAGUCUGACGGAGCAACGCCGCGUGAGUGAUGAAGGCCUUCGGGUUGUAAAGCUCUGUUAAUCGGGACGCGGUACCGGAAUAGAAAGACACGGCUAACUACGUGCCAGCAGCCGCGGUAAUC
rnacentral:rRNA from 1 species